AGAGAGGGAGACACAGAAUCCAAAGCAGGCUCCAGGAUCUAAGCCGUCAGCACAGAGCCCGAUGUGGGACUAGAACCCACGAACCAUGAGAUCAUGACCUGAGUCAAAGUCGGAUGCUUAACUGACUGAGCCACCCAGCUGCCCUGAGAACUAUAUGACACCAUUGGAAACAUUGGUUAUGUUACCAAGGCUUGGACUGGAAUGUCAUAUUUGAGAGAGACAUGCAUUGACUCAGAUAUGACCGGACAGAAUUAAGAUUUGAGGUUGACUUUAUGGAGCCGAUGAAGCCCCUUGGAAAUGUUGGCCUGAUACUUUACUUACAGAGUUCCCAGAAGCCAUACCAGAUACAUGUAAGCAGUUCCUGACUUCUUUGCCCAGCCAACAGAGAUCCUUACUACUUGAAACAAAUCCACCUGACAUUCACUCUGUACUCUACAACAAUGGCCUUCCAUAAUAGUUACUUGUAGGGAUAGAAAGUGGCCAAUUUCAGUUCACAGGUAAAGACAUCUCUAUAACCCCUAUCAGCUUAAAAAAGUUACAGAAGAUGAGCCCUUCACUCUUCAACAGCCCUAAAGAUUUAAGGACCAAAAAUUGGUUGGGGGUGGGGGGAAUGAUGAAGGAUAGAAGCAGAAAAAUGUUCACCUUCAGCCUGGAAGGCUGAUCUAUAGCCUGCAUAUUUCUGAUAAGGAUCAAGUAUGCAUUGGUUGCUACCUUCUUAAAGGGUCUCACGACUGCCUGUAUAUCUUACUGAUAAUUAAUAUCAAACUGAAUGAGAAGUGCCAGAGAAAUCAUCAAAAGUAGUUUUAUGAGUAGAAAUUAAAAGAAGACAUUUGUGAUCUAAUAUUCCCUGCAUGUCCCCUCCCCCUUGAGCACUAAGCAUAUAACCCAACAGCUUCAGGGGUUCCUGGGUGGCUCAGUCGGUUUGCAUCCAACUUUGGCUCAGGUCAUGAUCUCACGGUUUGUGGGUUCGAGCCUGUGCUGACAGCUCAGAGCCUGGAGCCUGUUUCAGAUUCUGUCUCCCUGUCUCUCUGCCCCUCCCCACUCAUCCUCUGUCUCCCUCUGUCUCAAAAAUAAAUAAACAUUUAAAAAAAUUACAUUAUAACCCAGCAGCUUCAUAGAGCAAAGGUGCAGUUCUUUCUGCCCACGGGUUCUGUCUCUGUGCUACUUACUUUCUAUAGGUUAUAGCAUACAAUAUCUCAAGAAUUCUUUCUUUGCCUUUGAGCUCAAUGACCCUGCAACAAAACUAUAUAGGUAAUGGGUGUUUCAGUGGUAGAUUUUAACUUACUAGUUCAGUUUUUUCCAGUUCCAAUUUGGUAGGUAGCAUAUUCCAAGAAAUUUGCCAUUUAAUUUUUUUAACUGUUUACUGUUUAUAUAGUAUUAAAAUGAAAAUAUUCUCUGUAUCUCUAAUUUAUUUUAGUUCCUGAAAUUAUUUGUGCCUCUAUUCACACCCUGAUUAUAUCCACGAAAGCAAUUUUUUUGUUUUAUUAAUU